GUGCUAGCCGCCGCGGUAAUACGGAGGGUGCGAGCGUUAAUCGGAAUUACUGGGCGUAAAGCGCGCGUAGGUGGUUAAUUAAGUCAGAUGUGAAAGCCCAGGGCUCAACCUUGGAACUGCAUUUGAAACUGGUUGACUAGAGUUUUGUAGAGGGUGGUAGAAUUUCAGGUGUAGCGGUGAAAUGCGUAGAGAUCUGAAGGAAUACCAGUGGCGAAGGCGGCCACCUGGACAGAGACUGACACUGAGGCGCGAAGGCGUGGGGAGCAAACGGGAUUAGAUACCCUUGUAGUCC
rnacentral:rRNA from 1 species